rnacentral:piRNA from 1 species
UGAAAAGUGUGAACCUAUUUU